UACAGAGGGUGCUAGCGUUGUUCGGAAUCAUUGGGCGUAAAGGGCGUGUAGGCGGUUUGUUAAGUCAUGUGUGAAAUCCCUCGGCUCAACCGGGGAACGACGCAUGAAACUGGCAAGCUAGAGUACCAAAGAGGGGGGUGGAAUUCCCGGUGUAGCGGUGAAAUGCGUAGAUAUGUGGAGGAACACCAGUGGCGAAGGCGACUCUUUGGCCUGUAACUGACGCUGAGGCGCGAAAGCGUGGGGAGCAAACAGG
rnacentral:rRNA from 1 species